rnacentral:rRNA from 1 species
UACAGAGGUCCCAAGCGUUGUUCGGAUUCACUGGGCGUAAAGGGUGCGUAGGCGGUCGGGUAAGUCUGAUGUGAAAUCUCACAGCUUAACUGUGAAACUGCAUUGGAUACUAUCCGGCUCGAGGAAUGGAGGGGAGACUGGAAUACUUGGUGUAGCAGUGAAAUGCGUAGAUAUCAGGAGGAACACCGGCGGUGUAGACGGCUUUCUGGACCGUAGCUGACGCUGAGACACGAAAGCGUGGGUAGCAAACAGG